AUCAAAAAGAUUGAAUUCUCAACAGCAGCAAUGAGGAAAUGUCAUUUGUCUAGUGUAACGGAUAGUAGUGAUCAACUUCAGUGCAAGUGUUGCUGCAUAUAGAGACCCCAGCCCCAACAUAACAAUAAACCGUUCCCUGGGCUAAUACUGCGCAAAUCGUUCAGUACCUGAAGAGUUUUUAAAGGAAGUGGACACUAAUGGUUCCCUGGGCUAAUACUGCGCAAAUCGUUCAGUACCUGAAGAGUUUUUAAAGGAAGUGGACACUAAUGUGGAAAUACAUAAUGGCACUGUCUUUCAGGAGUUGGCUGCUGCCUACACAGAUGAUGAAAGCCUAACAACUUGGAACAUGUCUAGAAAUUCACUGCAGGCUAUCCAUGUAAAGGUUGUGAUAUCUAGGAACUCAAUGCUUCACUACGAACACUGUAGGUCAAC